AUGCUGGUGAAAGUGGUUCAGCUGGUCACAGGGGAUGGAAGCUACUCGGGAGGCACAACAGAGACAGAAAAACUGGAUGAUCUGUACUCUAGGGACACUGAGAUUGUGGCUGAUUCAGAUGUGCUGCAGCAUUCAGAAACUGUGCUGGAAGAGGGGGCGAGGAAGGAGUUCGCCCUAGAAAGUACAACGGUGGCUGCUGGAAGGAAAGGGCAAUCCGUGUUAAAAGAUAACAGGCGAUCAUCAUGUUGCGGCUGCACGGCGAUGAUAAGGCUGCUCCAGUCAGAUGACAAUGGGUGUUAUGUGGCCGAGCACACGACAGAUCACAAUCACCGAUUGACAAUUAUUUGA
rnacentral:rRNA from 1 species